GAGGUCCAAAUGGGGCUCUCUCACUCCAAAUCUGAAAGGAGAUGACGGUAUUCUUUGGCUGCCAAUUCAUGAGCACCCAUGGAUGCACAUUCUAAUACGACAAGAGCAUUCUAAGGGUUUGCAUGAAUUGGGAGACGAAGUUUCCUUGAUCCUUUUUGGUAUUGGAGUGAAGGGAGCUCCGAAUGGACACUCU
rnacentral:pre_miRNA from 1 species